UAUGAAUGAUAUUCAAGACAUGUUGGGUUAUCGUCCUUGUAUUGUGUACAAAUACAUGUGGCAAUAUAUCAGUAUCUUUGCUAUGAUUGGACUACUGCUUGCAAGUUUGAUUAGAAUGUGCAUCAACCACCCAGUGUACCAGUCAUGGAACAUGGAAAAGGCUGAAGAGCUCAAGUUGGAGUACCCACCCUGGGCAUUCUCCCUUCUGAUCAUCCUUAUCAUCUUGGCUUCUUUGCCUAUCCCACUGGUGUUCCUCAAAGAAACUCUACAAGACUGGUUACAAAAACAGAGAACAAAAAGAUAUGGACAGUGUGAAUACAGUCAGGGUUGUACUGUAGAUGAAGUGACAGAACCUAUGGCAGAAAAUAUUACACGGUGUGGAAAUGGUUACCUGCAUGUAGAGAUGGAAGACCUUGCAGAAAGCGGUAAACUUCUUUCUCCUGAAGAAGAUGCUGAAGAGGACACAAAUAAUGUAAAGGCCUAAAUACAAUAGUUCUGAA